CUACUCUGGGCUUUCUUCAUACACGCACAAAUCUUUCGCCUUUUACUAAAGAUUUCCGUGGAGAAGGUCGUUGUGAUGAGUAUGUAGUCGAUUUUUCAACAGUCCUGCUUUGGCGGGACG